GUAGGGAAUAUUGGGCAAUGGUCGGAAGACUGACCCAGCCAUGCCGCGUGCAGGAAGACGGCCCUCUGGGUUGUAAACUGCUUUUAUCUGGGAAGAAAAAGGCCAUGCGUGGCAAAUUGCCGGUACCAGAUGAAUAAGCACCGGCUAACUCCGUGCCAGCAGCCGCGGUAAUACGGAGGGUGCGAGCGUUGUCCGGAUUUAUUGGGUUUAAAGGGUGCGUAGUCGGCUGAUUAAGUCAGCGGUGAAAGACUUCGGCUUAACCGGAGCAGUGCCGUUGAUACUGGUUGGCUUGAGUGUCGGAGGGGUACAUGGAAUUGAUGGUGUAGCGGUGAAAUGCAUAGAUACCAUCAGGAACACCGAUAGCGAAGGCAUUGUACUGGCCGACAACUGACGCUGAUGCACGAAAGUGUGGGGAUCGAACAGGAUUAGAAACCCCAGUAGUCC
rnacentral:rRNA from 1 species